GACGAACGCUGGCGGCGUGCUUAACACAUGCAAGUCGAACGGUAAGGCCCUUCGGGGUACACGAGUGGCGAACGGGUGAGUAACACGUGGGUGAUCUGCCCUGCACUUCGGGAUAAGCCUGGGAAACUGGGUCUAAUACCGGAUAGGACCACUGCCUGCAUGGGUGGUGGUGGAAAGCUUUUGUGGUGUGGGAUGGGCCCGCGGCCUAUCAGCUUGUUGGUGGGGUGAUGGCCUACCAAGGCGACGACGGGUAGCCGGCCUGGGAGGGUGACCGGCCACACUGGGACUGAGAGACGGCCCAGACUCCUACGGGAGGCAACAGUGGGGAAUAUUGCACAGUGGGCGCAAGCCUGAUGCAGCGACGCCGCGUGAGGGAUGACGGCCUUCGGGUUGUAAACCUCUUUCAGCACCGACGAAGCGCAAGUGACGGUAGGUGCAGAAGAAGGACCGGCCAACUACGUGCCAGCAGCCGCCGUAA
rnacentral:rRNA from 1 species